rnacentral:lncRNA from 1 species
UAAAAAUGGAGCUUGAUGUUGUAAAAAUUCCAUACACAAGUGUUGUUCUGGGGUUAUCUGUCUCCAAAAGAAACACAUCCUCUAACUCAUCAAAGUAUGUUUCUGUUCCAUCUUCAUCCAUUACUGAGCACACCAGUCUUGCUUUCAAGAAUGUAGUCCACUUGUUCACAAGACUACGCUGACCACCUGUAUCAUUUGGGCAUAUUCUUGCAAUCAUUGAGUGAAUUUGCUUG